CGGUGCACGUUAUCAGUUCAGAGUGAGUGUCUGUUCACCCUUCAGGUAAUCGGCGGUCUUGAUGAUUGCUGUAAACAGUAGCCAGAGGGAAUUAUAUGUGAGGAAUAUUCUCUUGUGGCGUGGGUCUUCUCUCUCAUCCUCCGGACCGUUCUUUGCUCUCGUCUUCAACACGAUCUUCCUACUGUUUCUACAGUGAAUUGCGCUUAGUAUAACCUGAGUACAUUUGAGAACCACGUGUUUACGCUGCGAUCGCGCCGUGGGCCAGCAGCAGGAUUUGCAUCGUCUACUUCCUUUCGUUUUUAAUGUGAUAGAAAAGUUAUGAUCAAUAAUAAUUGACUGUUAUUUGUACGAGAACCAGUGUGUGUGCACACGCGAGCGUGUGUAUGUGUGUGUGCUGCACCAGCUCUAU